rnacentral:sRNA from 1 species
GCCAGGAGUGGUGGUGCACUCCUGUCAUCCCAGUGGCUUGGGAGGCUGAGACAGGAGGAUCGCAAGUUCAAGGCCAGCCUCAGCAAGACCAAGGCACUAAGCAACUCAGAGAGACCCCGUCUCUA